GAGGGGAAAGGUUCCAUG
rnacentral:snRNA from 1 species